rnacentral:rRNA from 1 species
UACGUAGGGUGCAAGCGUUGUCCGGAAUUAUUGGGCGUAAAGAGCUUGUAGGCGGUUUGUCGCGUCUGCUGUGAAAAUCCGAGGCUCAACCUCGGACUUGCAGUGGGUACGGGCAGACUAGAGUGUGGUAGGGGAGACUGGAAUUCCUGGUGUAGCGGUGGAAUGCGCAGAUAUCAGGAGGAACACCGAUGGCGAAGGCAGGUCUCUGGGCCACUACUGACGCUGAGAAGCGAAAGCAUGGGGGAGCGAACAGG